CACUUGUUGGUGACAUCACCCUCACUGUUAAAAUUAUUCUAAAGUUGAAAGUGCUUGAAAGAUCACUGUGGCUCUCUUAAUUUGUUUUAGGUGGAUAUUGCUUUAAGCCAGAAAAGGCAAAGGCUGCCCUUAAGCUUUUGGAGAUGGAAACUGUCUUGUCCAUGGAGCUGAGGGCAGAGAGAACAAGGGUACCUGUGUCUUCAAUAAAAACAGAGGUACAGUAUGAAGUAAAAGCCAUUACGUUACCUACUUACCUUUAACAGAAAAUUACAAGUAUUAAAUAUUACUUUUUUCCUUUUAAAUAAAAGUCUCUGUAUAGCCUCUAUAUCCUCAGUAUACAUGUAAGUCUGACAUAGAACCGAGGAUUUCUGAAAAUAACUUUUUUUUUUCAUUUGUUUUAAUUAGGAAGACUUGAUCAAACAUUCUGCCACUAAUGGCUACGAUGAAAAACCAGAAAGGAAGCUUCCUGCUCAAAUCACUGAGAAAGUAGCAAGGACAGAGAGUGUACUUAAAAAGAAGAUCCAAGAAUGCAAGACAGGCCGCUUCAUGGAGAAAGAUAAACGGAUCAUAGAAGAACUGAAGAGUCUUCACUGUGAUCCCCAUCCAUUUUGUUCUGUGUAUCCCUCUGAAACAGACUUCAGUAAGUAUUAUUAAAUCUGCUUUUAUAUGAGUGGUCAAAAUAAGACAGUUCAUGCUAUUACUCCUGCUGUUGGAUUUUUUAUCCAUUA
ensembl:lncRNA